GCGGCGUUAGCUCAGUGGUAGAGCGGCUGCUUUACACGCAGCGGGUCGGGAGUUCGAAUCUCUCACGCCGCA
rnacentral:tRNA from 1 species